rnacentral:rRNA from 1 species
UACAGAGGUCUCAAGCGUUGUUCGGAUUCAUUGGGCGUAAAGGGUGCGUAGGCGGCGCGGUAAGUCGGGUGUGAAAUCUCGGAGCUUAACUCCGAAACUGCAUUCGAUACUGCCGUGCUUGAGGACUGGAGAGGAGACUGGAAUUUACGGUGUAGCGGUGAAAUGCGUAGAUAUCAGGAGGAACACCGAUGGCGAAGGCAGCUCCCUGGGCCAAUACUGACGCUCAGGCACGAAAGCGUGGGGAGCAAACAGG